GCCUGGGUAGCUCAGUUGGUUAAGCGUCUGACUUCAGCUCAGGUCAUGAUCUCAUGGUUUGUGGGUUCAAGCCCCUCAUUGGGCU
rnacentral:tRNA from 1 species